rnacentral:lncRNA from 1 species
UACUACUAAAUUAAACUUUACAAGUAUACAUAUAUAUAUAUAUAUAAGCAUAUAUAUAUAUAUAUAUAUAUAUAUAUAUAUAUAAGCACAUUCCAAUAGUUUAAUCCCCAUUAAAAAAAAAAUACAGCUAUAGUAGUAGAAAAUUCUCUGACUUAAUUUUCUGUUCAAUAUUCUUGUUCUAAUUAUAGAUAGUUGAAAAAAUGGAGGUGGGUGGCUAUAAUUAUGAUUAUGGUGCGUCGGAAGAGGGCUGCAGAACGCCGGAACGCGGUAGUUGUCAAAUUCCAGCAGCCUCGGCUUGUCCACCGGCGCCGAGGAAGAAAGCAGCUGCUUACCGGAAACAGAGGAUAGAGCCGAAAAAUGGGUAUUUUCAACCACCUGAUCUCGAGAUUUUCUUCGCAAAGGCACAUAGGAGGGAAGCUUAUGAUUGCUUGUAAUAGUUAGAGAACAAAAUCGGAUUAGUAUUUAUAUGUAUAUCAAGUUUUCUCUAAAUCUUGUACUUAUGGUAGUAGUAGAUGUAAUUCUAUGGAUACCAAAGAAUUCUUAUUCUCUUCUAAAAGGCAAUCGAUUUUUUCUAGAACUAUAUAUGGAGUAUUGUAUUGCUACUACUACAUGGGAAUUAACUGCUCUGUGAUAAUUAAGUUACCAUCAACAUAUCCAGUUAAUCAUUCACGACCCAAACAAAAUAAGUUAGAUUGUUCAAGAUGAUUUUCCCUUACUUGGUUUCUUUUAUCCAAGUUGCCCCUCCAACUUGUGGGAGAAUAUUAAACAUAAAGUACUCAACAACAACUGAUUCAGCUCAAGAUUCAGGCAAUUGAUGUAUCUUCUGUAUAUAAUACAUAAACAACAUAUAUAUAUAUCCAAACCAAUUGCAG